GGUUAUAUUUUUUUUGUGUAAUAUAGAAGUAAUGAGUUUUAUUUUUUUUCUAAAAGGAUGUUGAAACGCUCAGUAAAUGGAACUCUGCUCUGGGUAAAUGAUUAAAAAUUACGAGUUUCAUUUGCGAAUUACAUUUUAAUCCAGAAGAUGUGAUUAAAAGUAAUCAAGAGGUUCUAAAAGAUGGCAGUAUAUAUGUCUGUGAAUACGAGAAAUUUCAUUUGAAGAAGAAUGCUAUACCAAAAUCUAAUGCUACUAACAAUGCUAAUUAAUAUCAGAUGUUUUUACCUUUGCAGAUUAUCUCUUAAACUUCUCGAUAUAACUGAGUUGAAAACGUUUGAGGUUUCUAAAAAUUUCCUUAAACUUUUAUUGAAUUCUACGUUUCUCAAAAUAUUUGUUUUCAGAGUUGUCAAUAGCAACAAGACUUCCCGCGUAAGUAUUUAAACGAGUACUUCUUGAAAAGUAGCGCGCCCUACCGGCAAAAUAUCUGUCCCCUAAAUUGAUGCCGUUCUUUCAACAUUACGUUCGGACUCCUUGUAUCUACACUUCGUGAUUCACUUAUUGCCACGGAUCUAGGCUCCGUGUUUAUUGCGUUGCAGCCAUAACCUGAUUUUCAUUUGUCUAUUCUAAUACUAAAUCUUAAAAUGCUGAAAACAAAUUCUCAAGUCUCAAAGGAGAAUACAGCUCGAAGUAAAGAUAUGAAAGUUAAACUGAAAACUGAAAUGGAACAUAUUCUGCAUAUUCUAAAAGCAUUAAAAAAAUGUAGCAGUCUAUCAUUGAAAUGAUUAAUCUCAAUCUAUAAGUACUUUUGUGAUACGUGAAUUGCGAAGAGAAGAGAAAUUCCGAUGUUUAAUUACUAAUUUUGUGAAUUAAUGAAAAUAGCCAAUGAAAAACAAAGUAAACUAUUGACAUAUGUAAUAUCACAUCUAUUAUCAUUGAAUGCAUCUCCAUUUCAAAUAGAUGUGAUAAAAUAUUUGUCAUUAAAUUAAUAAUAGAUAUCUACAAUCGCUUCACUAACAAUGAUGACAUUUAUAAUGCAACUAGAAAAGCUGCGCUGCAAUUAAUGGUACAACUGUAAAUACAUUUCUUAAAAUAUCACUGUUCAAGUCACUUCCUUUGAGCAUUGAAGUCGUUCAUUAAUAUCUUACUUUAUUCAAAUAUGUCAAAAUUUUAAUCAUCAAUGAAAGAAUGGAUAUGAUUUUGAUAUGAGAUUUUCAACAAUUUCCAUCAGUCAUGGCUAUUCCAAUCUACAAGCGAGUUAAACAGACUAUGGUUGGACCAUUUCUGUGGCAAGGAUUUAAAUUUUACCUACCGAAUCGAGCGAUGAGGCAAGCGAAGCAAACAUUUGCAACAAUUCUUAACUUUUACUACAUAAAAAAGCUUCUAAAGGUUGUUGUUUUUUUUAUUUACACAUCUAUAUACCUGUAAAUUCAACUGUUUGUAUUUUAGGUAAUGACGUUCUCACCUGUCGCAUCAAUAGGAAUAGUCUUCGAUUCUUCUUGGGAGAAUAUUUUUCUUUUUUAUAAGUCUUUUCUGUCUAUAAGUUUAAAUAAUUCUUGCUACAUUUAUUAAUUUUUAAUUAUAUACAAGAAAGGGAAUGAAAAUUGUCAGAAAAAAUUUGUCGGUUCUCUCCUGGUUCAUAGUCGUCUAAUAAUACGCUAUCUUCUAAUUUUUUAAAUCAUUUUCUACACAUUUUUCUUUUCUCACAAAUUUAUCGCCUGCAAGUUAACGUGCCAGUUUAUUAUUGGAUAUUGCAGUAAUUAAAUUAUCUCAUAUCGUUCAAUUAAAAAUUGCAUUUAAUAUCCUUAUAUUUUGUUACUAAAAAUAUUGAUAGUAUAUCAGAAGAUAAAAAUAGAACUUAUAAAGAAUUAAUAUACAGUAAAAUGGCAAGAUUGAGAUUCAAAAAUACAGCUGUUUACUUUUAAGGUUUUCUAGUUGCAAAUAAUCUAAUUGCUUCAGAAUCCGUAACUUUAAUUUCACAUAAAGCUAUAUUAAUGGUUAAAGAAAUUUUCAAUAGAACAUUGGAAAUUUUUGUGGAAAUCAUUACUGUUAGUGGUGAAGAACACAUAAAAAUGAAACGUGUAGGGAAAAGAUUUUUGAAAACGUCAAAGGUGACGUCUCAUCUGACGAUUAUGAAUCAAAAGAAAAACGAUAAAAGAAGAAUAAACAGUUAGGAUUAUAAAAUUCAAGUCGUUAAUAUCUAAAGAGCACAUCGUUAAAGAAGCUUUUAUCAAAAUGGAAAAAGGAAAUAAAAAAAGAGGUGAUAUACUAAAUAAGUAUAAAACUAUUAAUUCUUAGAUUUACAAUCGUUUUGUUGAGGCUAAGGAAAAUUAUCAACAAGUAAUGAUCAAGAAUUUUUAGCAGCUUCAAGCCAAUUCUCGGAUGUUAAUUACAAAGCUACGAAAAGUUCGGUGACAAAAUUUAAAACAAAUAUGGAAUUAGUCAACGAAAGAUUACGAAAAUUGUUUCCAUUAUGACCUUGAAUAAGUUUUCGCUGUUUUUUACAAAAUAAAAACUUUAUUUAAAAUAUAAGGAACAAAGAUGUUUUAUUAAAAGUAUUGUCCAUCACUAGAGACCAUUUUCUCCCAUCUUUCUGGCAGUAUAUGAGUUCUAAGUUGGAAAAACGACAUGUCUUUUGAGGCUAUCCAAGAAUUGACCCAUUUUUUAGCUUCUUCGUAAGAAUGAAAACGCUGGUCAGCUAAGCCAUGUGCCAUUGAACGGAAUAGGUGAAAAUCGGAAGGGGCUAUAUCAGAUGAAUACGGCGAGUGGGGUAGAACUUCCCAUCGAAGCGUUUCCAGGUUAGAUACAGUACUUCCUUGCAAGUGCGUUACCAUUCGAAAUUUCACGCACGGAGUACUGCUAUUGCCAUCUUUGAUGAAACAGCGAGAACUUAUUCCAGGCCAUAAUAUAAAGGAAGCAGCAACCUUACAAAAACAAAUUCAUUCAAAUUCAUACCAAAUUUUCUUAAAGACUAUGUUAUUAAUACUGUUCUAAAAGGGUGCCACUAUCAAUUUAGCCAGAAUUAUAACUCUUGCUAAAAAAGAAAAAUCUUGUUUCUGUUAGAAGGCAUGAUUAUUAAUAGAAUGACGCAUUCUUAUACUGCGCAAUAUGCCAUUACUUUUCUGAGAAAAUUUUACCAAAAGUAUUAAUAUGUCUGCAAGAAGCCACUGGUCACUUUGGACCUAAAUUCCAGAAAAAGCAAUAAAUUAUUAUGUUAAAAAAUAUACAAAUAUCGUUGUAAAUUCAUCAAAGUCUGAAAAAUUUAUGACAGAAUUAUACACUAUAUUUCUGAAAGAUUGCUUAAAAUCUUACGUAGAAAAGAACAGUUCCUUUUCAUCAUAGACUCUUGGGGAAGACACAACGCCCGACCCACAUAACAUAAAAACUUUCUAAGAAAUUUCUAAAACAUUUCUUGGAAAGCUUUAAGUCUUUCAAAACGAUUUCUAAAAAAUAUUUCUACAAGGUGGAAAAGUCCGGGUUUAGAAACUUGGGAAGGAUUUCUAAAAAGGUCUUUGAAAGAUUUUAUAAUAUCUUAUUACCAUAUUUUGCGAAAGGUUUCUAGAAAAUAUUUUUGAAUUUUUUCAAAAAAGACAAUUGAGAGCUUUCCCUGCCAAGGCUCACCGACCAAUCCUUUUCACGAUUGCCCGAAUUUUUUUUUUUCGUGGCGUUGUAAGACUGUGGAACAUAUUACGAAAACAGACCCUCCACUCAAAUGAGCCCCCUGUGUGGGAUUCGUGAAGAAAAUUUGACCGCUGGACUGACUGGGGGACCAGCGGGAUUCGAACCACGGAUCUUUUGCUUUCCGGGCGCGACUGCUCUUUAACUAAUUGAGCUAUCCAGGGCUACUGAUAAAUACUUCUUACGAAUGCUUCAUAAGUUUGGCAUGGAGGCGCUCGUCCCACAGAAGGUUUUUGGAAGAUUUUCUGAAACUUUAUCGUCAUGUUUUGUUAAGGCCGGCGAUACAAGUAAAAUAAAAAAAAAUCGAAUUUUUUUUUUUUAUAAAUAGUUAGUUUCAUGUCUCAAAAACAUGCCCGUAAAUUUUUUGAAUGAAAUUCGCAUUAUUUAUCGAUUAAAAAUUCAUUUAAGGGCUCCGCCUCAACUCGGCGCUAGACGCGAACGCUAAACUUUGAACGCGUUUUUCUCAAAACGACUUUUUUCAAACUGACGUGCAAGAUAACUCAAAAAGUUCUUAACCGAUUCUUAUGAACUUUAGCACACAUUUUCUUUAUAGUAUUAGCUUCUAGUUAAAUUUUAAGAAUGCCACCAAAAUUUUCCAAAAUUGCCAUUUUUGACCCAAAAAUCGUUAAAAAAAGGGUCAAAAAUCGGACUUUUCUGUCUUAGUCGUGCCAAUUUACGAUUUUUUGACUUUUUUGUUUUUUUCCUAAUUCAACUAAAAGAUACAUGUUUUAUGAAAACGCUCCGACUCUUUUUCUUUAUUCCAAAUUGCUGUAACUGAAGCUAAAAAUCACGCUGAUUGAUGCCUUUUGUCGCGAGGGCCUCAGGAGAUUGGUUACUACAUCGGCCAUUUUGAA
rnacentral:lncRNA from 1 species